rfam:Schistosoma haematobium scaffold544_12, whole genome shotgun sequence.
AUCCAGCUGACGAGUCCCAAAUAGGACGAAACGUGCGUCCUGGUU